CCUGCCUGUAUUUUCCUCAAAGCCUGCCCGGACACCUAACUCUCUCCCCUCCGUGAGUUUCUCCCGUUUAUACGCGGCGUUGAGGCAUUUUCGUGAGGCCCGGAGUCGGUGUUUUUUCACCGGGAACAGUCCACCAUCCACACGGACACACUGCUGAGGCUCAGCAGCAGCACCACGGUGACGAGCUCAAGCGCUGACACGGAAGUUUGUAAAGGAACUUUCAAAAUAAAAGCCCGGCACAAAAAUUAAGGAGAGUUAACACGGCUGGGAACGUCGUACUACGCAGUUAUGCUUUUAUAUUGAAGGUCAAAUUUAACUCAUCUCACUUUGGGAAACUUGGACCACAUAAAAUUACUGUUUGUGUGUGGUGCAUUGGUUCAGUACUGUCGUUACACAACCUCCAGGUGUUCUCAACAGUCAUCUACAUUUAACCGAUUUAAAAUUUUCUGUCUACUCUCGCAAAUCAUCUUUAUUUUACUUUGUCUAAUUUAUUUCAUUUUAAGAUACUAAACCAUUUUACUCUUGGUUCUCAGUUUGAAAGCAAAUAAAACCAGAGCAUGAUUGAAAAAUACUUACAUAAGUGAUUUUCGUUUUGCCACAUUUAUGUUUGCCAUUUAUUAUAUUACGCCAUUUGAAUUUCCCUCUAGGAUUAAUAAAGUAUCUAUCUAUCUAUCUAUCUAUCUAUCUAUCUAUCUAUCUAUCUAUCUAUCUAUCUAUCUAUCUUUUAUAUGUGUAUGGUACAAAUGAGAGAUUUGAAGUUUUCUAGGUAUAUAUACUGUUUAAAGUGCAUAUUUGUGUGUAUAUACGUGUAUAUAGGUAUGGAUUUAUAUAUGUAUAUAUAAGGUCUUUGAUUCAGUAUUAAUGAUUUGUUACAUAUUCAUGUUAGACUUUGGAGGUUUGGUUUCUUUUUGGCGACUUCAGAAAUCCUAAAAUUUUAGAGACAUGUAAAAGGUCAACAAAUAGGAAGGAAUGAGGGUAGGUACAAAUAAACGAAAAUAGCUUCUACCUACUCCUUUUCGAUCUCCAAAAAAUAGAGAAUUUCUUGUCUAAAAUUGUACUGUAUGUAUAUUUGAUCGAAUAAACAAUCUCUCUCUCUCAGAAAAAUAUUGCUCUUCAUGUCAUCACUAAGAACAUGUGAUGGCAAUGGCAGGUUAGACAUCAAUUUAAUCUUUUUACUGCCUCUGGCUGUACUGAUUGUCUCUCUUGAGAUCCAAAUAUGUAUCUUACUUUUUUUACACAACAAUGCUUUUUUUUUGUUUUUGUUUUUUUCCCCCCACAAUAACAAGUAAAUUGAAGUGGUUGUCUUGGAAUUUUAACCCACUCGUCUCACUAUUCAGGGUUUACAAGCUGAUUUUAUGGCAAUGAUUGAUACAUUUAAUUAUUUCAAGAUGAAAGCUUGUUUUCUCAUUAAAAAAAAAAAAAUCUUCACGUUUUGUCUCUUAGAAAAUAAAAGAAUGCCAUCCCGCAGCCUUUUUGAAUGGUUCAGUAAAACUUAAGGUAAAAGGAUAAAUUGUUCCAGCUUCUUUAACUUAAAAUUACACUGAUAACAGUUUUUGUAUUUUAUUAUAGACUGCUUGCUUGAACAAAAUAAAAACCAAAAAACCUGUAUCCAUUUUGGCCACUUGGGGGCAAAGUUAUACGCUUUAAAAAGGAUGUUUUCUCUCCUAUGGAGUUAAAUGUGGUGAAAUAAUUUUAAAAAGACACACUUUUCCUUAUCUAACAGACGUGCAACCACAUUAUUAGAUAUUAUAAGCCAGGUCAAAAAACAGGCAAGGAUCAAGACAUGACUAUGACUGUGGAAAAAUGUUGGAAUGUAAACUAUGAAGGAAAACGACCUGGCAACAAGACUGUGACACAAAUUGGAUUAUAUACACCAGGUAGUGGCAUGUGAUAAGACACAGGUGGGGAAGACACAAUCAGGAACCAAGGGGGGGCAGACAGGAAUGACAAUCUAUCACUGUUUGAUUGUAUAAAUUUACAUUGUUAGUGGUGAAACUGAAGCUGAUGCCUUACAGUGAAAUGAAACCAGAGCUGAAUUGUUCCCUGAGACAGACUCUGAAUGUUUAACUGACACUAUCAGAAAUCAGACCCCGCUAUCAGCUGUCAAGUUAAGUCUCUCUUUAAAGUCUGUUGACCUGGCUUCACAGGCUUUGUGUCUGCCUACAACAGGACAUCCUGAUUACAUUGAUAAACUACACAAUACGGGAACUAUAAAGCCUCUGUGAAGGUCAGGUCAAUAGCUCAUUAAGCUAAGUGUCAUUAUUGUUUGUUUUGCUUUGUAUUCGCUUGAUUAAUUUGACAAUAUGAAUUCUCUUAUGAAGGAGGAUUUAAUUCCCUGGAUUGUUAAAUGACUGUAAUCACAUUAAAGCUCCUGUGAGCUCUGAUUGCCCUGGUUUUAAACCCCAUCUGACUUUAAUUUUUUCAGGAUUCUGAGAUCAAAAUCAGAAUUUUGAGAUCAAAGUUGUUGUUGUUUUCAGAAUACUGAAAAGAAGAAGUCAGUUGACUUUAAUCUUUUAGCUCAAUUUUUAAUUUCCUCGAGGGAACCUUUCCUAAAGGAUCAAUAAAGUUCUAUCUAAUCUAUCUUAUUUCAUUAAAGUCUCUUGUUUUCAAGGUUCAAGUAUUUGUUUUUGAUACUCUUCACUGUUUCCAAAAAGUACAAAUUCUUAUCAAAGCCUCAGCUGAUGAUGUUAAAUGACUUCUCUGACCCACAGUGUGUGACACUAACAUUAUAUCCUCAUCACAAAGUAAAUGUUCUCACUAUCAGAUUACUCUGUUAGGUUGGGUGAUGUGAACUAAAUUUAUACAUAUAUAAUGGAUAAAAAAACACCUACACCAGCCGUAAAAACUGUCUUUAUGACUGAUAUAUUACUCACAAAAACCGGACAACUUAAAAACUUCAGUCUAAGUUGAAAUGUAUUCAUUUUAAUGUCCACCCUGGAGCUCUGAUCUUUUCCAUGACUCACAGAUGACAAAUAAGAAACAUGUCAUCCGUCAUAAGCUGCAACUAACCUCAUAAUAAAGUUUGAACAGCACUUCUCUCACAUCCAAGGAACAGUGCUUGUAUGUCUUAUCUGUGUCAGACAAGAGCUUAAGUUUCAAUUCCUCUGAAAACACAGAGAACAGGAAAUGCAGUGAAUCCUGAGGAUCAAAGCACAAAGACACGAUCAGAUCAUAAAGUGUGCCAAUAUAUCAAUUCUUUAUGGUUCUGGGGCCUUUUAUGUGACCCUAUGUUAAGUUUCACUAUGAAAGACUCUGACCUCAAUGGGAUUUCGAGGAAUGGCGAGCAGAUAUAAAUCUCUUUGCAUCCUGUCUGAUGUCGGAAAAUCAAGUGGUAACUCACGUCGUAACACAGAUGUUCAAAAUCAAGAUAGAUAACUAUACCCAUACCACAUCAGGCCAGAUACUAACCUAAUUUUAGGCUUUAAAAUAUUAGUUUUAUGUUUUUGUGGUAAUAAAAAGGAAUCAUUUUGACCUAUGGAUCUUUCCACUGGUAAGUUAGCCAUUUCAAUAUAUUACUUAGAUAUGAUUUGUGCGUGCAAAUAUCUUGGCACAAUCUCCACCCUUGACCAAAUUACCACCAUAAAACUAGAUACGGUGCACCAAAAUAGCACAUGAUGCUUUUACAUAGUCAUUGAUAAACCCAUAAAAAUCCAGUUCAAUAUCUUUAUUUAAUCACAUGAAGUCUUUCUUACCAUCUCCCAUGAGGGCAGAAGAAGAAUUAUUAGUCAUGGUUCUUGUUUGCUGUCUUUGUCAAAGCAGGCUGUAAACUCUUGUUUUUAACAUGAUCAUAACAUAAAAUGAAAAUUAAGUUUAAAACACAUCAUGUUUUAUUUUUGUACUUUCAGGAGAGACCCACACAAGCCAACACAAGGAACGCCAACAACUUGAGAAAGACCAUCUAUUUUGUGAUGUGUUUCCCAAAUAGUUACAUAUAAACUCUGAACUGUAGAAUAAAAAAUCACCAUUAUAACUUUAUCUCAUAUCAUAUAGCAACUAAUCAUCAAGGGACAUGUUUAAGGUGCUUCCCAAAAGCACAGAUGAUUCACUGACCUAUUUUUUGCUCACCUGUCCCUGUGGUUGAGUAUUCAGUAUAAAAAUAAUAUGUUCAUCACUAAAUCAAGCCUGCAAACAAUGUCUCUACUAAUUCUUAUUAUAGUCUUAUCUUUGUCUGAGUUCAGCAGCGUCACGUUACUUCUCCUUUUCGUCAUAAUUCAAGCUGCCACGACAAAACAACAGGCAACAGGCAAAUCUACAACCCAUUACUAAAUACAUUUUACUAAACACAACUACAAAUCACAAAUACAAAUCAGAAAAACAAGACAAAAAUCAUAAAACACAACAAGACAAAGAAAACUCCAACUGGAAAUCACAAAACGAAAAACAAAGCGCAGCAGCCACUCAAAAAGUACCAUACAACAAAGCAUCAAAAAUCAUGACAACUUAUCACAAAAUGCAAGACAAAAAUGAUCAAAUGCAACAAGAAAUCUAAAAUCCAAAAGCACAUAAAAACACAAUUCAAACCUACAACAAACCACCAAACACCCUAAC
rnacentral:lncRNA from 1 species